AGGUUGGUGCAAAAGUAAUUGCAAUUUUUGCCAUUAAAAGUAAUGACAAAAACUGCAGUUACUUUUGCACCA
rnacentral:miRNA from 1 species